rnacentral:rRNA from 1 species
CCUACGGUGUGCAGCAGUGGGGAAUAUUGGGCAAUGGGCGCAAGCCUGACCCAGCAACGCCGCGUGAAGGAAGAAGGCUUUCGGGUUGUAAACUUCUUUUCUGAGGGGCGAAGAAAGUGACGGUACCUCAGGAAUAAGCCACGGCUAACUACGGGCCAGCAGCCGCGGUAAUACGUAGGUGGGCAGCGUUAUCCGGAUUUAUUGGGGGUAAAGGGCGUGUAGGCGGGAAAGCAAGUCAGAUGUGAAAACUCAGGGCUCAACCCUGAGCCUGCAUUUGAAACUGUUUUUCUUGAGUGCUGGAGAGGCAAUCGGAAGUCCGUGUGUAGCGGUGAAAUGCGUAGAUAUACGGAGGAACACCAGUGGCGAAGGCGGAUUGCUGGACAGUAACUGACGCUGAGGCGCGAAAGCGUGGGGAGCAAACAGGAUUAGAUACCCGUGUAGUC